CGAUUUAACCAAAACCGCUUUGCUGAUCCGACCCGCGAACUUAACCGAUCCCUACCCCGAUCUCCGUCGCUCUUCCCCCAAAGAGAACGAGACGACGACUGGCUCUCGUCGUCGCCCGACCGCGGUGCCGAACGUGGACUUCGGGAGCUACUAGGCGACGGACUAUCCUAGAACGGUGCUUCAUCUAGGUGUGACCCAAGAGUGGAUAGAUGAAGGUCGAUUGCCAAAGGAGCGAACAAAAUCGAAGGUGGAAGAGACCCUGCGAUGUAUUGGCAGAGGCCACAUAUUGAGGGUUCACAAUUCGAGUUCAUCUCAUAAGGAUCAAAAUGCAAUAGAGAUGUCACCAGGAGGCGACAUGGUGCAGCGGAUCGUGGUGAAACAGCUCAUGACAAUACGAUACACACAACAUAGUCCUGUGAGGGAUAAUGACAUAUUAAGAAAAAUACAUAUGUUUGAUUUCAUUUUAUUAUAUUAUCAUUAUAUGUAAAUUUUUUUUAUUUUUAUAAUUAUGAAAGAUCAUCAUAAAUUACAA